AAAAAAGACAAAUCAAGACUCCGUGGCAAGAAUAAAUUAGGUUAACGUAAUUCUACGAAGGGCUUCCAUCUGCGAGGCCCCGGAGGCUGCACAACUAGUUCUUCAGAAACAUGAGAAAAACGGAAAUAAAAAUAUUAAAAACCCAACCGAUGGUCUCGUUAGGAGCCAGUAUUUGCUUUAUUUUCCUCUUUUCACUACAUUAAAAAUCCCAUUGGCUACCGAGCAGCCCGGUUCCCCGCAGCUGCCACUGCGCUUGCGCGGCGAUCUGUUUACGAAGGGGGCGCCGCGUAGGCCGCGCUCCCUGCCUCCCUGGGCGCCCUCGCCGGCUGUGCUGGCGUGCGCCUCGUCGGGAAAAUCAGGUGUUCUUUUGGGAGGACCGGUCAGAGGUUUAAAACAGGACAGGUCGCAAACUUGAAGCCAGUGAAAAUAACGGUAACGGGACUCGGAGCCCUCAGAAGUGGGCGAGGCGGCAGCGCCGUCAUGCACGGUGUGAGAGCCCCGCAGGCCCCUUUCCAAGACGCGGUGAGCGGCAACAGUGAGCCAAACGCGAGGUAGAUAUUUAGGGAGCCCUGCGGUAAAAAUGCGACUGAGCCUGAACCACGUGCCGGCGUGAUGAGGACGAAGCUGAAUCAGAAAGGCAGCCAUGCAGAUUUUGAAACUGAAAAGAGGCACAUCAGCAGGGAGCUGGAUCAGAAGCAGAGCAGAUGGAUGCUUAAACUACUAUGCCACAGCGCCAGCCCCCAAGUGAUGUCUUCACUGCUGUGCCAAAUACCUGCCCCUCUGGUACCUUUUUAGUAUGCUUGGUCCUCCACAGUCAUACCUCACCCUUGGCCCCUGCCUGGCCUACUUCCAGACUGGUUUCCUGAUAAUAGAAAUCAUCUGUUCUCUGCUUA